rnacentral:rRNA from 1 species
UACGUAGGUGGCAAGCGUUGUCCGGAUUUAUUGGGUUUAAAGGGUGCGUAGGCGGCUUUGUAAGUCAGUGGUGAAAUAUGGCAGCUUAACUGUCAAGGUGCCAUUGAUACUGCGGAGCUUGAGUACAGAUGAGGUAGGCGGAAUUGACGGUGUAGCGGUGAAAUGCUUAGAUAUCGUCAAGAACACCUAUAGCAAAGGCAGCUUACUAGGCUGUAACUGACGCUGAGGCACGAAAGUGUGGGGAUCAAACAGG